rnacentral:rRNA from 1 species
AUUGAACGCUGGCGGCAGGCCUAACACAUGCAAGUCGAGCGGAAACGAGUUAUCUGAACCUUCGGGGAACGAUAACGGCGUCGAGCGGCGGACGGGUGAGUAAUGCCUAGGAAAUUGCCCUGAUGUGGGGGAUAACCAUUGGAAACGAUGGCUAAUACCGCAUGAUGCCUACGGGCCAAAGAGGGGGACCUUCGGGCCUCUCGCGUCAGGAUAUGCCUAGGUGGGAUUAGCUAGUUGGUGAGGUAAGGGCUCACCAAGGCGACGAUCCCUAGCUGGUCUGAGAGGAUGAUCAGCCACACUGGAACUGAGACACGGUCCAGACUCCUACGGGAGGCAGCAGUGGGGAAUAUUGCACAAUGGGCGCAAGCCUGAUGCAGCCAUGCCGCGUGUGUGAAGAAGGCCUUCGGGUUGUAAAGCACUUUCAGUCGUGAGGAAGGUGGUGUAGUUAAUAGCUGCAUUAUUUGACGUUAGCGACAGAAGAAGCACCGGCUAACUCCGUGCCAGCAGCCGCGGUAAUACGGAGGGGCGAGCGUUAAUCGGAAUUACUGGGCGUAAAGCGCAUGCAGGUGGUUUGUUAAGUCAGAUGUGAAAGCCCGGGGCUCAACCUCGGAAUAGCAUUUGAAACUGGCAGACUAGAGUACUGUAGAGGGGGGUAGAAUUUCAGGUGUAGCGGUGAAAUGCGUAGAGAUCUGAAGGAAUACCGGUGGCGAAGGCGGCCCCCUGGACAGAUACUGACACUCAGAUGCGAAAGCGUGGGGAGCAAACAGGAUUAGAUCCCUGGUAGUCCACGCCGUAAACGAUGUCUACUUGGAGGUUGUGGCCUUGAGCCGUGGCUUUCGGAGCUAACGCGUUAAGUAGACCGCCUGGGGAGUACGGUCGCAAGAUUAAAACUCAAAUGAAUUGACGGGGGCCCGCACAAGCGGUGGAGCAUGUGGUUUAAUUCGAUGCAACGCGAAGAACCUUACCUACUCUUGACAUCCAGAGAACUUUCCAGAGAUGGAUUGGUGCCUUCGGGAACUCUGAGACAGGUGCUGCAUGGCUGUC